rnacentral:misc_RNA from 1 species
GAUGAAGAACGUAGCGAAAUGCGAUAAGUAAUGCGAAUUGCAGAAUUCAGUGAAUCAUCGAAUCUUUGAACGCACAUUGCGCCCGCCAGUAUUCUGGCGGGCAUGCCUGUCUGAGCGUCGUUUCGACCCUCGCGCCCGGCUUCUGUCGGGGGCGGUGUUGGGGAUCGGCCACACCCUUCAGUGGGAGGCCGGCCCCUAAAUUCAGUGGCGACCACGCUGUAGCCUCCCCUGCGUAGUACUAAAACCACCUCGCAGGCGGAGAGCGGUGCGGCCCGCCGUAAAACCCCCCAACUUUUACAAGGUCGACCUCAGAUCAGGUAGGAAUACCCGCUGAACUUAAGCGUAUCAAUAAGCGGAGGA